GAUUCGGGCUCGUCCGAUCCUCCCACCCUUUGUAUACCUACCUCUGUUGCUUUGGCGGGCCGCGGUCUUCCGCGGCCGCCCCCCGAUUUGGGGGGUGGCUAGUGCCCGCCAGAGGACUAUCAAACUCCAGUCAGURAACGUUGCAGUCUGAAAAAAAUAUUAAAUAAACUAAAACUUUCAACAACGGAUCUCUUGGUUCUGGCAUCGAUGAAGAACGCAGCGAAAUGCGAUAAGUAAUGUGAAUUGCAGAAUUCAGUGAAUCAUCGAAUCUUUGAACGCACAUUGCGCCCCUUGGUAUUCCGGGGGGCAUGCCUGUUCGAGCGUCAUUUCAACCCUCAAGCUCUGCUUGGUAUUGGGCACCGUCCUUUGCGGGCGCGCCUCAAAGACCUCGGCGGUGGCGUCUUGCCUCAAGCGUAGUAGAAUACACCUCGCUUCGGAGCGUAAGGCGUCGCCCGCCGGACGAACCUUCUGAACUUUUCUCAAGGUUGACCUCGGAUCAGGUAGGGAUACCCGCUGAACUUAAGCAUAUCAAACCGGG
rnacentral:rRNA from 1 species